UGGGGAAUAUUGCACAAUGGGCGCAAGCCUGAUGCAGCGACGCCGCGUGAGGGAUGAAGGCCUUCGGGUUGUAAACCUCUUUCAGUAGGGACGAAGCGAAAGUGACGGUACCUACAGAAGAAGGACCGGCCAACUACGUGCCAGCAGCCGCGGUAAUACGUAGGGUCCGAGCGUUGUCCGGAAUUACUGGGCGUAAAGAGCUCGUAGGUGGUUUGUCGCGUUGUUCGUGAAAACUCACAGCUUAACUGUGGGCGUGCGGGCGAUACGGGCAGACUAGAGUACUGCAGGGGAGACUGGAAUUCCUGGUGUAGCGGUGGAAUGCGCAGAUAUCAGGAGGAACACCGGUGGCGAAGGCGGGUCUCUGGGCAGUAACUGACGCUGAGGAGCGAAAGCGUGGGUAGCGAACA
rnacentral:rRNA from 1 species